rnacentral:rRNA from 1 species
CACGUAGGAGGCGAGCGUUGUCCGGAAUCAUUGGGCGUAAAGAGCGCGCAGGCGGCUUGGCAAGUCGGGUGUGAAAUCCCCGGGCUCAACCUGGGAAUUGCAUUGGAGACUGCAAGGCUAGAAUCUGGCAGAGGGGGGUAGAAUUCCACGUGUAGCAGUGAAAUGCGCAGAUAUCAGGAGGAACACCGGUGGCGAAGGCGGGUCUCUGGGCAGUAACUGACGCUGAGGAGCGAAAGCGUGGGGAGCGAACAGG